UACGAGGGGUGCAAGCGUUGUUCGGAAUUACUGGGCGUAAAGCGUGCGUAGACGGUUAUUUAAGUCGGGUGUGAAAGCCCCGGGCUCAACCUGGGAAUUGCAUUCGAGACUGAAUAGCUAGGGUACGGUAGAGGGAAGUGGAAUUUCCGGUGUAGCGGUGAAAUGCGUAGAUAUCGGAAGGAACAUCAGUGGCGAAAGCGACUUCCUGGACCAGUACCGACGUUCAGGCACGAAAGCGUGGGGAGCAAAACAGG
rnacentral:rRNA from 1 species